AACGAACGCUGGCGGCAGGCCUAACACAUGCAAGUCGAGCGCACUCUUCGGAGUGAGCGGCGGACGGGUUAGUAACGCGUGGGAACAUACCCUUUUCUACGGAAUAGCCUCGGGAAACUGAGAGUAAUACCGUAUACGCCCUUCGGGGGAAAGAUUUAUCGGAGAAGGAUUGGCCCGCGUUUGAUUAGAUAGUUGGUGGGGUAAUGGCCUACCAAGUCUACGAUCAAUAGCUGGUUUGAGAGGAUGAUCAGCAACACUGGGACUGAGACACGGCCCAGACUCCUACGGGAGGCAGCAGUGGGGAAUCUUAGACAAUGGGCGCAAGCCUGAUCUAGCCAUGCCGCGUGAGUGACGAAGGCCUUAGGGUCGUAAAGCUCUUUCGCCAGAG
rnacentral:rRNA from 1 species